rnacentral:rRNA from 1 species
GGGAGCUUGCUCCCUGAUGUUAGCGGCGGACGGGUGAGUAACACGUGGGUAACCUGCCUGUAAGACUGGGAUAACUCCGGGAAACCGGGGCUAAUACCGGAUGGUUGUUUGAACCGCAUGGUUCAAACAUAAAAGGUGGCUUCGGCUACCACUUACAGAUGGACCCGCGGCGCAUUAGCUAGUUGGUGAGGUAACGGCUCACCAAGGCGACGAUGCGUAGCCGACCUGAGAGGGUGAUCGGCCACACUGGGACUGAGACACGGCCCAGACUCCUACGGGAGGCAGCAGUAGGGAAUCUUCCGCAAUGGACGAAAGUCUGACGGAGCAACGCCGCGUGAGUGAUGAAGGUUUUCGGAUCGUAAAGCUCUGUUGUUAGGGAAGAACAAGUACCGUUCGAAUAGGGCGGUACCUUGACGGUACCUAACCAGAAAGCCACGGCUAACUACGUGCCAGCAGCCGCGGUAAUACGUAGGUGGCAAGCGUUGUCCGGAAUUAUUGGGCGUAAAGGGCUCGCAGGCGGUUUCUUAAGUCUGAUGUGAAAGCCCCCGGCUCAACCGGGGGAGGGUCAUUGGAAACUGGGGAACUUGAGUGCAGAAGAGGAGAGUGGAACUCCACGUGUAGCGGUGAAAU